rnacentral:rRNA from 1 species
GAUGAACGCUGGCGGCGUGCCUAAUACAUGCAAGUCGAGCGAACGGACGAGAAGCUUGCUUCUCUGAUGUUAGCGGCGGACGGGUGAGUAACACGUGGAUAACCUACCUAUAAGACUGGGAUAACUUCGGGAAACCGUAGCUAAUACCGGAUAAUAUUUUGAACCGCAUGGUUCAAAAGUGAAAGACGGUCUUGCUGUCACUUAUAGAUGGAUCCGCGCUGCAUUAGCUAGUUGGUAAGGUAACGGCUUACCAAGGCAACGAUGCAUAGCCGAACUGAGAGGGUGAUCGGCCACACUGUAACUGAGACACGGUCCAGACUCCUACGGGAGGCAGCAGUAGGGUAUCUUCCGCAAUGGGCGAAAGCCUGACGGAGCAACGCCGCGUGAGUGAUGAAGGUCUUCGGAUCGUAAAACUCUGUUAUUAGGGAAGAACAUAUGUGUAAGUAACUGUGCACAUCUUGACGGUACCUAAUCAGAAAGCCACGGCUAACUACGUG